rnacentral:rRNA from 1 species
GACGAACGCUGGCGGCGUGCUUAACACAUGCAAGUCGAACGGAAAGGCCCUGCUUUUGCGGGGUGCUCGAUUGGCGAACGGGUGAGUAACACGUGAGUAACCUGCCCUUGACUUUGGGAUAACUUCAGGAAACUGGGGCUAAUACCGGAUAGGAGCUCCUGCUGCAUGGUGGGGGUUGGAAAGUUUCGGCUGUUGGGGCUGGACUCGCGGCUUAUGAGCUUGUUUGGGGGGUAGUGGCUUACCAAGGGUUUGACGGGUAGCCGGCCUGAGAGGGGGAACGGCCACAUUGGGACUGAGAUACGGCCCAGAAUCCUACGGUAGGCAGCAGUGGGGAAUAUUGCACAAUGGGCGGAAGCCUGAUGCAGCAACGCCGCGUGCGGGAUGACGGCCUUCGGGUUGUAAACCGCUUUCGCCUGUGACGAAGCGUGAGUGACGGUACUGGGUAAAGAAGCACCGGCUAACUACGUG